CACUCUUCUGUCUCCUGCAAUGCAAACUCAGACCCCAUCUUUGUAACGUCGUCCGUUUUUGUAAUUCAUCUAUUUUAAUAUCAUCAUUUACCUCAAACCCACUACUCAUCCCACUCUCUCUGAAUUAAACAGCUCCAUUAUCAUUAAAGGUUACCGCUUGAAGCUCUUCUCUAUAAAUCGGUACCUUCCCUGCGAUGAAUAGCUGCAGUUCUACGAAAUCCCAAUGUAAAAAUUUCAUCAAGCUUCGUUUCCAGCAAUGGCUUCUUCCUACACGAUUCUUGCUAACUUGAAGGCCGGUCCGUGUUUGGUUUGGAGGCUCGGAAUGUCAAGAGAGGUGGCAAACUGAUGAGUAGUGACAUGCUUUUCCUGGAUGAGAAGAAACGUACCAGCGUCUAAACUAUCUUCCCUUUGCACAUGGCGGUUAUUCCUCAAUGGGACCUCUGGAACCCACAUCUACUUCUACAUUGAGACAGAUGCGGGAAAAGAGAACUAUGCAGAAGUUGUUUAGAGAUGGCUCAAACCAGACAGCCUCUUCAUCAAAGCUGAUUCAUGCUCAGACGAUAGAACCCCUCACUGUCUCUGAGCUUAACCAAUCUGUCUUAACAGCUGAUCCUCAGAUAAUCGAGUUCCUCUGUACUGCCAAAGUAACCGGUAUACAGUCUGAAAAAGGGGGUGUCAUAGUGGCUGCGAUGGAUGUUCUCAGAAGGUCGUGAAGGAGAUUUCUUCUGUCAUGUGCCUCUUUUGUGUGGGUUCCCUCAGGUACCAUGUGGAACUAUCUUUAGCAGACCAGACAGAUGAUGCUCUAUUUGUUGCUUUUGAUAUGGAAAUGGUUAAGUUAAUCAACAUUCAAACUGCUGAGGCUGCGCAAAUUACAGGUGUUGGUGCCAAUGCUCGUGUGGAUGCUGAAAUGACCCAGUUUGUCGCUGGCAUUGUUGGGAAGAUCUUCACUUUCCAGCUUAAGUUAGGAGAGUUCAACUUCACUUCGAAGCACCAAACCUUCACAAUCUCACGUAUCAUUACCAAGCUCAGCGUGCACUACUCCCUGAGAUUAUGAGCUGACCGUACUCAAAUCAAAAGCCAAGCGAAUCACAUGAGAUCUUUUGGUACGAGUCACUACCUAUAGCACGACGAAUGCUUUUGCUUAUAAUAUCAUCAAUAAAAGCCUCAUAUUGGAAACAAAUUACAACUAUAGAUGAAAUUGUUGGUAUUAUCUAUCGUUUCAGGCCUGGUUUGCAAACUUUGAAAAGAAAGUUGUUCACUUUUUUUUUUUUUAAACAACAAAGAAAGUUGUUCACUAGAUGUGACAAAGAAGUGUUCUGACAUCUCGAGCUGUGUUAGAAGCAUGAAGGUAGCUCACGAUUUAUCUGUCACUUUUAAGAGUUUUUCUUUUGUCUUUGCUACAAAGUUGCAAUAUAUAUAUGUCUCUUUAUUUGGGUUGAAGAGUCGCAGAGUAUGAUUUACAAGACUACAAGUUAUUGGAAUAUCAAGAGUCUAUAAUGAGAUUUUAUGACAUGAUUUUGGUAGCCCAAAUCAAUAAGCUGCUUACCUUUGGUUGUCCCACUUCAACUUUAUUGUUGAGAAAAAUUACUAACCGCAUAAGAUGAUGAGGUUAAGUUCCCAUAAAUCAAAUAAACAUACGUCAAAAUAUUACAAUAAUUAUAAUGGACAAUGUAAGAACAAAUAUUUGACAGAAAAUUGAAACAAAACUACUUUAAAAUAUAAAAAAAAAACUCAAACGAUUAAUUCUAAAAAUAAACAAAAAUCCUUAAUACUAAAAAUAAACAACAAUCCUUAAUCCUUAUAUAUAAAAAUAAGAAGAAUAUAUGAACAAAACUUCAUUACACACAUUUAAAUUCAUAUUAGUCUUUAAAAUAAAAUUUUAAAUACCGUUUUUUCUAUAUACUGUCCAUAUGGUACUUAGUAGUAUAAAUAUGUUUUCUAAAUAAAACAUCAACUUUACUUUAUGUUUAAAUUUCAACUAAAUAAACUUUGUUACGAUUACCGGCUUUUUAUUUUAUUUUUAUUGAAUUGAUUAGUCACAACUACUUAUGCUAUUCCACUUUGAAAUAA